AACUAUACUCAUCAAAAUUGAAUCGUUCUAUAAGUACCCAUAGACAACAAAGUUUAUUGCAAUUCAGAGCACUCACUAGGACAGUGUCACAGUGUCAAGCUAAAAUACAUGAGAAACGUUGAGGACCAAUACCAAACUUCUCUUCGCUAUCACAAUGAAUUAUUUGGUAGUGUCUUCAGCAUCUUCCUGUCCAUAGCGACGCUUAAACUUGGCAACCUGUCCUAAACUUUCAGCCAUCUGCCGUCUGGCCCUGAAGUGGUAGACUUUACCAACAUGAUGAAUUUUUGUCAUCAUAAUGUGCAUCAACCUGCCACUCUGGGUCACAUAAGAUAUCCACUGCAUCUGAGGGUGAAUUCCUUUCUUCAUUUUGCUAGAAUCUGCUAGAGACUGGAGAUAGAGAGAACGGGAAAUGGACAAAAGGGGCGACAGUUGCCGGCUAGUGAGAGCGAGAGGGAG
rnacentral:misc_RNA from 1 species